CAGCGGCUCGCCACCCUUCUGAGGAAGCGUUUUUUGUGAAACGAGAAAUCGUCUUCUGAAAAUGUAUUUAAUUCCGAACCCACUGCUGGCAAUAACUUUGCAUCCUCCAAUCGAGAGUGAUAACCCAGGUUAUCAACAUGGCAGAUUUUCGCUACUAUGCAGAUGAGCGAUUUCAACUACAUACAUCACUGAAAGAAAGGGGGGAGGGAUUAUUAUCCAGGACUAUAAAGACUACACUAAAGAAGCAGAGAGAAUUCUAGGGGAUAUUAACUACUAUCAAAUUCUAUCCAGAGAUCCGACCCCUUUUUUCAAAACAUCAUAUCAUGAAUUAAUAGGCAAGGGCUCUUUGCAGGGUAUAUUAAAUAAAGAAGAACAUGAAUUCCUUAGAAUAGACAAUCCCAGUAUCGCUCAUUAUUACCAUCUUCCAAAAAUACAUAAGGAUAAAAAUAACCCUCCCGGACGUCCUAUCAUAGCUGGGAUAGGCAACCUCACAUAUAAUUUAUUAUUCUACAUUGAUCAGUUUUUACAAAAAUUUGUUAUUACUCUUCCGUCAUACAUUAGAGACAGUACUCAUCUUUUACAGUUAUUACAAAACCUCACCCUUACCAAUAAAAAGAAAUUAUGGAUUA